CCAGCGGGUCAGGCAGCAUCUCUGGAGAAAAGGAAUAGGUGACGUUUUGGGUCGCGGCCAUUCUUCAGACUGAGAGUCAGGGAAGAGGGAAAUAAGAGACAUAGAAGGUACAGAUCAGAUGAAUGAAAGAUAUGC